rnacentral:rRNA from 1 species
GGGAAAUCUUACCGGGUCCGGACAUAUCGAGGAUUGACAGACAGUUAUACAUGCCCUACAAGUAGGAGUCAGGUUUUAAACCUAAUGGCUCUUUCAUGAUUAUAUGAUAGGUGGUGCAUGGCCGUUCUUAGUUCGUGGAGUGAUCUGUCUGCUUAAUUGCGUUUCAAAAUUUAACUUGAGGACCGGGUUUUGGUUUGGCUAGUGGUUCUACGAUGACUGUGAACUGUCAUGUCUUCGGAUGUGCGACUAUUGGUCUAGGAUCACAUGACUUGCCCCUGGGACUCUUUUGAACGCAACGGACGUGAUUGCAACCCCUUGUUGAGAUUAGAGAUAGUCUCGAUAUUCACUGGACAAACUGGCUGCUUUAUGCAGUCUUGUUGAAUGGUGGAUAAACUCGGGGGACUGCUGACUAUAACCAUUUCUCAAAACAGAGGAAGGUUGCGGCAAUAACAGGUCUGUGAUGCCCUCAGAUGUCCCGGGCUGCACACGUGCUACAAUGAGUGGCGCAAUGUGCUAAUGUUUAAGGGAUAAGAGUGUGGUCAGUAGAACGUCGGGAUUUCCCCUGACGUCUCCCCCGCACGAUUAUCAGCCUUCCCUUAACAGGGCGGGCAACCUUUUCAAAAUACUGGUUUGAUGUUAAAGUAUUGAG